AGAGUUUGAUUAUGGCUCAGGAUGAACGCUAGCGGCAGGCUUAACACAUGCAAGUCGAGGGGCAGCACGGGUAGCAAUACCUGGUGGCGACCGGCGCAAGGGUGCGUAACGCGUGAGCAACAUGCCCUAUACAGGGGGAUAAACCAGGGAAACUUGGACUAAUACCCCAUAGCAUUUAUUUAUGGCAUCAUGAAUAAAUUAAAGCUUCGGUGGUAUAGGAUUGGCUCGCGUGACAUUAGCUAGAUGGUGAGGUAACGGCUCACCAUGGCGAUGAUGUCUAGGGGUUCUGAGAGGAAGGCCCCCCACACUGGGACUGAGACACGGCCCAGACUCCUACGGGAGGCAGCAGUGAGGAAUAUUGGACAAUGGAUGGAAAUCUGAUCCAGCCAUGCCGCGUGCAGGAAGACGGCCCUAUGGGUUGUAAACUGCUUUUAUACGGGAGCAAUAAGGUCUACGUGUAGACUGAUGAGAGUACCGUAUGAAUAAGCAUCGGCUAAUUCCGUGCCAGCAGCCGCGGUAAUACGGAGGAUGCGAGCGUUAUCCGGAUUUAUUGGGUUUAAAGGGUGCGUAGGCGGCCUUGUAAGUCAGCGGUGAAAUUUUGCAGCUUAACUGUAAAAGUGCCGUUGAUACUGUGAGGCUAGGAUUUGGUUGCUGUGGGUGGAAUGUGUGGUGUAGCGGUGAAAUGCUUAGAGAUCACACAGAAUAUCGAUUGCGAAGGCAGCUCACAAAGCCAAGAUUGACGCUGAGGCACGAAAGUGUGGGGAUCAAACAGGAUUAGAUACCCUGGUAGUCCACACUGUAAACGAUGAUAACUCGCUGUCGGCGAUAUACAGUCGGUGGCCAAGCGAAAGCGAUAAGUUAUCCACCUGGGGAGUACGACCGCAAGGUUGAAACUCAAAUGAAUUGACGGGG
rnacentral:rRNA from 1 species